rnacentral:rRNA from 1 species
GACGAACGCUGGCGGCGGGCUUAACACAUGCAAGUCGAACGGAAAGGCCCUGCUUUUGUGGGGUGCUCGAGUGGCGAACGGGUGAGUAACACGUGAGUAACCUGCCCUUGACUUGGGGAUAACUUCAGGAAACUGGGGCUAAUACCGGAUAGUAGCUCCUGCUGCAUGGUGGGGGUUGGAAAGUUUCGGCGGUUGGGGAUGGACUCGCGGCUUAUCAGCUUGUUGGUGGGGUAGUGGCUUACCAAGGCUUUGACGGGUAGCCGGCCUGAGAGGGUGACCGGCCACAUUGGGACUGAGAUACGGCCCAGACUCCUACGGGAGGCAGCAGUGGGGAAUAUUGCACAAUGGGCGGAAGCCUGAUGCAGCAACGCCGCGUGCGGGAUGACGGCCUUCGGGUUGUAAACCGCUUUCGCCUGUGACGAAGCGUGAGUGACGGUAAUGGGUAAAGAAGCACCGGCUAACUACGUG